rnacentral:rRNA from 1 species
UCCCGCACAAGCAGCGGAGCGUGUGGUUUAAUUCGAUGUUACACGAAGAACCUUACCCGGGUUUGACAUACAAGUGGUAGUGAAGCGAAAGCGGAACGACCCUUCGGGGAGCUUGAACAGGUGCUGCAUGGCUGUCGUCAGCUCGUGUCGUGAGAUGUCCGGUUAAGUCCGGUAACGAGCGCAACCCUCGCUGUAUGUUACAAGUGUCAUACAGGACCGCCGGUAUCAAGCCGGAGGAAGGUGGGGAUGACGUCAAGUCAGCAUGGCCUUUAUAUCCGGGGCUACACACACGCUACAAUGGCCGGUACAAUAGGUUGCUAAGCCGCGAGGUAGAGCCAAUCCUCAAAGCCGGUCUCAGUUCGGAUUGCAGGCUGCAAUUCGCCUGCAUGAAGUCGGAAUCGCUAGUAAUCGCAGGUCAGCAUACUGCGGUGAAUACGUUCCCGGGCCUU